rnacentral:lncRNA from 1 species
GUUGGGUCUGUGAUGUAGAGGGAAGGGGAGAGGGGUAGAAGAGGGGAGAGAAGAGGGGAGGGACGGGGUGAGGCCUUCUUGAGGAAGGGCUGCUCUUCUCUGUUUUAUUUCCGGGGACUGCAGGAGGGCCAGUAUGUCUUGCUUGCCUGUCCAGGCAGUGCUGCCUGCCUGGGGCUUGGCUGGAGACAAAGCCUGGAUGCCCAGGAUUUGAGAGGGGUGAAAGUUGGCAUCCGGGCUCAGCCACUCCGCCCGCCUCCCAUGUGUGGACCUUCACUGUGCCACCUCUUCUGCCUGGGGCCACCUGAACUCCCGGCCUUCAGAUAACCCAGCUCCGGAGUCUUCCCAGGCUCAGGGUGGCCUCCCUUCCUGCUGGUGGCAGUGCCUGGAGACAGAUGUGGCUCUCAACUCAGCGCUGUUG